rnacentral:rRNA from 1 species
UACGUAGGGUGCGAGCGUUAAUCGGAAUUACUGGGCGUAAAGCGUGCGCAGGCGGUUCGCCAAGUCAGGUGUGAAAUCCCCGGGCUUAACCUGGGAAUUGCGCUUGAAACUAGCGGGCUUGAGUGUGGCAGAGGGAGGUAGAAUUCCACGUGUAGCAGUGAAAUGCGUAGAGAUGUGGAGGAAUACCGAUGGCGAAGGCAGCCUCCUGGGCCAACACUGACGCUCAUGCACGAAAGCGUGGGGAGCAAACAGG